UACGUAGGGGGCAAGCGUUAUCCGGAUUUACUGGGUGUAAAGGGAGCGUAGACGGCUGUGCAAGUCUGAAGUGAAAGCCCGUGGCUCAACCGCGGAACUGCUUUGGAAACUGUAUAGCUUGAGUACUGGAGAGGCAGGCGGAAUUCCUAGUGUAGCGGUGAAAUGCGUAGAUAUUAGGAGGAACACCAGUGGCGAAGGCGGCCUGCUGGACAGAAGCUGACGUUGAGGCUCGAAAGCGUGGGGAGCAAACAGG
rnacentral:rRNA from 1 species